rnacentral:rRNA from 1 species
CCGCCCGUCGUUAUCUAAGAUGGAAAGUUCGGAUGAAGGCAACUCGGUUGCAAGAAUCCGUGCCGCUUAGAUUGGAUACAAGUCGUAACCAAGGUUGCCAGUAGGUGAACCUUGCCGCAGGAUCAUUAGCAAAGCAGGGGCUUUAUGGACAAAGAGUGCACUCGACGGAUCGAUUGGCUCUUGUGACGAUGAAGAACGCAGCAGCGUGUGAAGAUGGGCGAGGAUGGCAAUCUUCAGCCUGUGUUUGAAUUGUGGAGCAUCCACGAUAACCCCUUGGACUUAAGCAUAUCAAUAAAGGGAGGAACAGAAAACAACAGUGAUUCUGGCAGUAGCGGCGAGCGAAGUCAGAUAAGCCCCGACGGUAAGAGCGCAAGCUUGUUGUAUGGGAUUGUGGGCAACGGUCUGGAAAGACCGGCGAUGCAGGGUGAUAGCCCCGUAUGCCAGGCCCACAGAAUAUGAGUAGUGCUGUUUGGUAGUGCGGCAUGAAAGGGUGGUUGUGAGCAUCCAAGGCUAAAUACAACCAGAGACCGAUAGCGAAUAAGUACUGUGAAGGAAGCGACCCGCUGUAGCGGCGGGGACGAAAAAUCGAGUGUACGGAAGGCAACAAGUUGCACCCGUCUUGAAACACGGACC